rnacentral:rRNA from 1 species
CGUUGGGUCCUUGAGGACUUAGUGACGCAGCUAACGCAAUAAGUAGACCGCCUGGGGAGUACGGCCGCAAGGUUAAAACUCAAAUGAAUUGACGGGGGCCCGCACAAGCGGUGGAGCAUGUGGUUUAAUUCGAUGCAACGCGAAGAACCUUACCUGGUCUUGACAUAUCUAGAAUCCUGCAGAGAUGCGGGAGUGCCUUCGGGAAUUAGAAUACAGGUGCUGCAUGGCUGUCGUCAGCUCGUGUCGUGAGAUGUUGGGUUAAGUCCCGCAACGAGCGCAACCCUUGUCCUUAGUUACCAGCGGUUUGGCCGGGAACUCUAAGGAUACUGCCAGUGACAAACUGGAGGAAGGCGGGGACGACGUCAAGUCAUCAUGGCCCUUACGACCAGGGCUACACACGUGCUACAAUGGUAGGUACAGAGGGCAGCUACACAGCGAUGUGAUGCGAAUCUCAAAAAGCCUAUCGUAGUCCAGAUUGGAGUCUGCAACUCGACUCCAUGAAGUAGGAAUCGCUAGUAAUCGCGGAUCAGAAUGCCGCGGUGAAUACGUUCCCGGGCCUUGUACACACCGC